UAGGGAAUCUUCCACAAUGGACGCAAGUCUGAUGGAGCAACGGCCGCGUGAGUGAAGAAGGUUUUCGGACCGUAAAGCUCUGUUGUUGGUGAAGAAGGAUAGAGGUAGUAACUGGCCUUUAUUUGACGGUAAUCAACCAGAAAGUCACGGCUAACUACGUGCCAGCAGCCGCGGUAAUCGUAGGUGGCAAGCGUUGUCCGGAUUUAUUGGGCGUAAAGCGAGCGCAGGCGGAAGAAUAAGUCUGAUGUGAAAGCCCUCGGCUUAACCGAGGAAUUGCAUCGGAAACUGUUUUCUUGAGUGCAGAAGAGGAGAGUAGAACUCCAUGUGUAGCGGUGGAAUGCGUAGAUAUAUGGAAGAAUACCAGUGGCGAAGGCGGCUCUCUGGUCUGCAACUGACGCUGAGGCUCGAAAGCAUGGGUAGCGAACAGGAUUAGAUACCCUGGUAGUCCAUGCCGUAAACGAUGAGUGCUAAGUGUUGGGAGGCUUCCGCCUCUCAGUGCUGCAGCUAACGCAUUAAGCACUCCGCCUGGGGGAGUACGACCGCAAGGUUGAA
rnacentral:rRNA from 1 species